rnacentral:rRNA from 1 species
AGAUUGAACUGAAGAGUUUGAUCCUGGCUCAGAUUGACGCUGGCGGCAUGCCUUACACAUGCAAGUCGAACGGCAGCACGGGGCAACCCUGGUGGCGAGUGGCGAACGGGUGAGUAAUACAUCGGAACGUGCCCUGUCGUGGGGGAUAACUAGUCGAAAGAUU